CCGACGGUGAGGGGUGAAAGCGUGGGUAGCAAACAGGAUUAGAUACCCUGGUAGUCCACGCCNUAAACGAUGAGCACUGGACGUCCGGAGGGUUCGACCCUUCUGGGUGUCUCAGCUAACGCAUUAAGUGCUCCGCCUGGGGAGUACGGCCGCAAGGUUAAAACUCAAAGGAAUUGACGGGGACCCGCACAAGCGGUGGAGCAUGUGGUUUAAUUCGAUGCAACGCGAAGAACCUUACCUGGUCUUGACAUCCUGCGAACUUUCUAGAAAUAGAUNGGUGCCUUCGGGAACGCAGUGACAGGUGCUGCAUGGCUGUCGUCAGCUCGUGUCGUGAGAUGUUGGGUUAAGUCCCGUAACGAGCGCAACCCCUAUCCUUAUUUGCCAGCACAUCAUGGUGGGAACUAUAAGGAGACUGCCGGUGAUAAACCGGAGGAAGGCGGGGACGACGUCAAGUCAUCAUGGCCCUUACGACCAGGGCUACACACGUGCUACAAUGGGAAGGACAAAGAGCCGCGAAGCCGUGAGGUGUAGCUAAUCUCAGAAACCUUUUCGUAGUCCGGAUUGGAGUCUGCAACUCGACUCCCUGAAGUCGGAAUCGCUAGUAAUCGUAGAUCAGAAUGCUACGGUGAAUACGUUCCCGGGUCUUGCACUCACCGCCCGA
rnacentral:rRNA from 1 species